rnacentral:lncRNA from 1 species
CGUAAAGCUUACGAACUUGGGCUCGUUCUACGAUUUUGCGAAUGUUGCUUCAAAUCGUACGAAAAAUCUUGCUCGCGAAAAAGUUUCGCUCGUCGAUCCCCGAAGAAGAUCUUGGAAAUCGUCUGAUGGUGAAAGGAUCCCACAGUUAUACUUGCUUGCAGCAAGUUUAUUCGGACAAGUUCCCACGGCAGGCUAAAUUGACACCAGCAAUGUCGCUGCGAAAGUCGCAUUAACAUGAAAACAACGUGCUGGUUGUUUCUGCUGUUUAAAGUUUGUUGCUGUUUUCGUGCUGCGUUUAAAGGUAAAUCGUAAACAGAGGGCGUUCGUAACUUACAAAAGGUGGGUACUCAAAGCAAACUAAAAAAAAAAAAAUAAUAAAGAACAACUGAAAUACCGCGAGAAUAUCAACUCCUAACGUGCUUUCCUCGCAUUCGGUAAUAACCGUGGUAAUAAACGUGCGCAUGACUGUUGCAUUGGAAGAUGUUAAUGCUAAUGCAUCUUCAAAUUCUCAUCCAGUGUUUUCUGUAGGCUUGCGGUGCGGGUAUAAAGAGUUCAGUGUGGUUUUAUAUCGUCGGAGACGCUUUUAUGGAUCGUACGCACCUCGCUAGCUAUGUUCGAGCGAUGGUCGGAGUAUGUACAGUUAAAACUGGAUCUAAUGAAACCCGAUUUUACGAAGUUCCCGACCUAACGAAGAAAUUUCGUUUCCCCGGCAAGUACCCAUAGGGUACAAUGUUGUAAUCAACCCGAAUUAACGAAAUCAAUGGCCACCAAACCCGAUUUAACUAAGUUUUUUUCUAAAAUAAAUGAGUAAGAAAAGCGAUGAUUUCUUUCUAAUUUUCACACAGACGGGUUUUUCUUCGAGCGUGCGCUCUAACGCUAUCGCGUUAAAACAUCUAGACCCCACGGUC